rnacentral:ncRNA from 1 species
CUUAAAAACAUGAAAAAACGAGUAAACUUGUGGAGUAUUUCAGAGAGUAAGCGGUGGGUGUGAGCUUAUAUCGAAGUAAGUUGAAAAUCCUUUUUCUUAUGCAACUCAGAAAUUGAGUAAGAGUUGACGCAGUGGUAGGCGUUAUCAUUACCCAACAUUGAUAGAUGUUCGAGCGCUUAUUUAGUUAAGAAAAAAAGGUGGUACCGCGAUAAUUUCGUCCUUUGU